rnacentral:rRNA from 1 species
CAGCAGCCGCGGUAAUACGAAGGGGGCUAGCGUUGCUCGGAAUGACUGGGCGUAAAGGGCUCGCAGGCGGUUUCUUAAGUCUGAUGUGAAAGCCCCCGGCUCAACCGGGGAGGGUCAUUGGAAACUGGGAAACUUGAGUGCAGAAGAGGAGAGUGGAAUUCCACGUGUAGCGGUGAAAUGCGUAGAGAUGUGGAGGAACACCAGUGGCGAAGGCGACUCUCUGGUCUGUAACUGACGCUGAGGAGCGAAAGCGUGGGGAGCGAACAGGAUUAGAUACCCCGGUAGUCCCUGUCUCUUAUAA